GACGAACGCUGGCGGCGCGCCUCAUACAUGCAAGUCGAGCGACGAAGCCCGGGCUCGCCCGGGUGGAAAGCGGCGAACGGGUGAGUAACACGUGAGCAACCUGCCCCGAAGACCGGGAUAACACCGGGAAACCGGUGCUAAUACCGGAUGCCCUCACCGGAUCGCAUGAUCCGGCGAGGAAAGCUCAGGCGCUUCGGGAUGGGCUCGCGGCCUAUCAGCUUGUUGGUGGGGUAACGGCCUACCAAGGCGACGACGGGUAGCUGGUCUGAGAGGACGG
rnacentral:rRNA from 1 species